rnacentral:rRNA from 1 species
CCCUUAGAUGUCCUGGGCCGCACGCGCGCUACACUGAACGGAUCAGCGCGUUUUCCCUUCCCGAGAGGGACGGGUAACCUGCUGAACCCCGUUCGUGGUAGGGAUCGGGGCUUGCAAUUAUUCCCCGUGAACCAGGAAUGCCCAGUAAGUGCAAGUCAUAAGCUUGCGUUGAUUACGUCCCUGCCCUUUGUACACACCGCCCGUCGCUACUACCGAUUGAACGGUUUAGUGAGGUACUCGGACUGAGCCUCAGAAGAUUCACGUCUUUUGUGCUGCUCGGGAAGAUUCCCAAACUUGAGCGUUUAGAGGAAGUAAAAGUCGUAACA